rnacentral:misc_RNA from 1 species
GCAAACCCGAACGAGAGGUCGUUGCACUCUGCUGUGUGUGUGUUCUGUUCUGUUCGUCUGUACCGGCCCCCGGUUGUUAAAAAAAACAAUACAUUCAACUAUCAAUCGAAUACAAUUCGAUUGAAUCAAAAACUACCAAAUUAUUCUGGGGGAAUGUCCAAGUGAAAUUUCGUGUUACCAAAGUAAUUGCAAACUUUUGACGAGUGUUGGAUGUGUCGCUAGGGGCAACCUGAAUACAAUUUUUGUCCGAAAUUCCUUGAUCCCUAGUGCUGCAAGUGCACACACAGUGGUUGAUCGAAUGUGUGAAAAGUAAUUUGAGAGAGGCUCCACAGCCAUUAUUUGGGAAACUUAAAAGAUAGAAAACCGUUAGAUUUCUAUUCUGGAGAGACUUUGUGACGCCAUGAAAGAAAAACCAAAUUGUUAAAACAACAACCAAGGUCGUGAUGAUGAAUCGAGUCUCAUUUGAUCAGUGGGGCAGAGUCGUGCAGAGGCUCACGGUGCUUUGACCUUGACGCGAUACUAGCGCCACCACCACCAUUUUCUUUCUUUUUCCUCCGUUCUAAAUUCGUUUCUUUUUCGUCCAAUUCACCAGAAGAAAAAGAGAAUAUCUCACAUUGAGAAGAGAUAUGUGCACUACUACUCUCUCUCAGCUGUUUCCAAGGGUGAGUCUCUGCUGUGUGUGUGUGUCUAUUCGUUUUUCUUCCUCCGACCGACAAACACGUGAAUAAAAGAAAAAAAAAAGAUUAGACGAGACGAGAAUAUUAUCGGCGCAUGCGUUGGCACUCAGUCGCUCGUCGUCUGCCACCGUGUUCACAGUUCAAGUUCUUCUUGAUCGAGUGUGGUGUUUCGUUUGAUUCAUUCAACUAUUUGAACCGUAGAAUUUUUGGUUAUUAAACCAGUGUGGUUUGUCUAUCAUUUUGCCAGUGUGUGUCCAGUGCGAAAUAAUUGAAUUGGAGAUUUCGACAAUAACAACGUGUGUGGUUGUGUUUUUUAAUUAUUUGAAAUUCAACACUUCGUGGAAUUGGUCAUGGUCGGCCGCCAUUAUUACGAGCAGACAUUAUGACGGUGACGGUGGUGCUCUCUAGUGAUUCCGGUGGAAAGAUGAGCUUGUUCCAGGACCUGAAGCUCAAACGAAGAAAAGUCGAUUCACGAUGCAGUAGCGACGGUGAAAGUCUGAUGGAGACGGGCAGUUCGGCGUCGCCCGACUGUAGCGCGGCCACUCCGCCCAGGAGCGGCGAGGAAGGCUGCGGAAGUACCAGCGGCAAUCACGUUGGCGGAGCCGCAGACGAGGAAAAUCCGCCCAGCAACAGCAGCGCGGCGGGAGAACAACAGCAACAACAUCCGUCGGAUGAGAAUGGCGGAACGGCGACGGCCAGCAUCACGGUCGUCUGCAAUGGCCGGAUUAUUAAACAAGAAGAAGAUGAAGACGAAGAUGACGGAGUUGAAGAAGAUGAAGAGGAUGAAUCACCGGAAAGAUCCUCCCAGGCAUCCGCAUCCAGCGCCAGCGACGGCGGAUUCAUCUCCUCACCUGGACUCUCUCGCGGAAGUCGGUCGACGCCGGAUUCCCUGGGCGCCGACGACCACCUCCAGCUGCGACUAUGCGAGGAUUCCGGAACGGGUUCCGCUUUGAUGAUUGUUGUCAAGCAGGAAGCGAUGGAAGAGGAGGAAGAAGAGAUGGAGCGACAGCAGCAGCCACAGAAACGAGUGCGGAAUCGAGACGAGGUGGACGAGACGAUAAACGAGGCCGUCAAAUUGUCAAAGGCCAAAGCGACGACGGGCUCAUCAUUCCACGAUGAAGAUCCGCACCGGACGCGGAUCAAGGAGCCGGCAGCCGAAAGUUUCGGUUCCAAAGGAUCAACUUCCACCACCGCUUCCGCCGGAAGAAUGGAUCUUUCCGCUCAUUCACCAGCGGCGAUCGUCAAGACGGAAAGUCGACAACACAGUCCGUCGUCGGCCACUUCGGUCAGCAGUUCCGAACACAACGGCAUCCGCUCAUGGUCCAACCAAUCCUCGCCCAACGGCCAUACGACGACAAACAACAACAACCACAUGAGCAAACCAAUCCGGCCGGAAAUCAUUUUCAGCCAUCGGAGAGCCUCGACCUGCACCACGGUCGUCCACGGUGCCGUUCCGAUGGAUUCGUCGCCCAACGGCGGAUCCAGGACGUCGCCUUCCCUUGCGCCUGGCUCCUCGCCGGAUCACCAUCACCACAACGGAAGCAGCAAUAAACCGCAGUCCAAUCAUUCGGCGGCCGGAACGAAUCCCCGAGUGCCAUCGGUGAUCCUGGGCCAGUCUGGCGGAGUGAAGACGAUGGUGUGGACCGGCCAUUGGGCGGAUCAGCAGCAGCCGACGCCAUCCAGGCCGCGAUCGGUGCCCAACGGAUCGGAAGUUCAACAACCUCCUCCUCCUUUGAUGAUGGCCGUUCACCAGAACCGUCCAGGCAGCGUCAAGCAAAUGAAUAGCAACAACAUGCAAGAUGCCGCCAGCAUCCGGUUGUCCAUUGACGGAUUGCUCAGUUUGGCCCAGUCAUCGUCCGAUCGACGUCACGGCGUCGUAUCCAGGUCAUCUCCUCCGCAGCAGGCCAACAGUCCGAGCAGCAGCACCGUGAGCCCAACGGAGAGGCCGAGUGUGGUCAACAUCCAGCGAUUGAGUCCAACCUCAUCAUUAUCAUCCACAUCUUCUUCGUCUUCUUCUUCUUCGAAUGGCGUGGCCGCUGGAUCAUCGACUCCUCCGCAUUUUGCCACUCCGCUCCGGGUUCAGACGCCCACCACGUCGACGCCGUGCUCCUCCUCUUCCUCGUCGCUGUCGGCGUCGUCGUCCUCAUCAUCACGGCAUCACCACCAGGGAUCCGGUUCUCCUCCGGCCUUGGGUCUACUGACGGUGGCCAGGAACCAUCACCAUCCGCCAGGCGGAUAUCCUUUUCCGGACACGCCUCCGUCGAUGGAUCGGGCCACCAACGGUCACUUUAUGUCAUCCGCACGGUUAGCUGAGAGUACUGGCGGACACCACCAAGGGCUUCCGCCUUCCAUCUCGCGUCCGCCAGCUCUCCACCUCUCGUCGCGAUCCACCAAUUCGUCGUCUUCUUCAUCCUCCUCCUCUUCUUCCUCGUCGUCUUCUUCUUCCUCGCCUCCCAUUUCUGCGGCUUCCAGCGCCAUGGCUCCUCCCACUUCAUCCAGCCAGCCUCUCUCGAUGGAGCGGCUGUGGGAAAACGCCGAGCGAUCCGCCGCUGCCAUCAAGCAACAACAACAGCAGCAACAGCAGAGGCCAGAUUCCCAAGCGUUGGAUUAUUCCGUCUGUUCCGGCCGGUCGUCCAUCAUCGUCAGCUCCAACAAUGUCCACCACAACAACAGCAAUCACCUUCACAGCAACGGUCACCAUGACAACGGCACUCAUAAUCACCCGACAUCGGCCAUCCAUCAGCUUCCGUCGUCCAUCGUGACGACCAUCAACGGCGGAGGUCGCCCGUCCGCCGUCAACGGCAGCAACAGCCACAGCGACGGCAACCGGAUGGAGGAGGACGAUGAAGACACGCCCAUGAUUUGCAUGAUCUGCGAGGACAAAGCCACUGGACUCCAUUACGGAAUCAUCACCUGUGAAGGGUGCAAAGGCUUUUUCAAGCGGACGGUGCAGAAUAAGCGGGUGUACACUUGCGUGGCGGAAGGCAAUUGCGAGAUCACAAAGGCCCAGCGGAAUCGGUGCCAGUAUUGCCGUUUCCAAAAGUGCCUCGCCCAGGGCAUGGUCCUGGCCGCCGUCAGGGAGGACAGGAUGCCCGGCGGAAGGAAUUCCGGCGCUGUUUACAACCUCUACAAGGUCAAAUACCGGAAGCACAAGAAGAACAACAAUAAAAGUCCGCCGGGAACCACCGCCACCAACGGUGGUGUGACGGCCGUUUCGGCCGCAGCCGCCGCACUGGGCGUCAAGGCCGUUCUCGAAGCCAAUGCCAUUGCCAACGGCAAAAUCCAGCAACAACAGCAACAACAACAGCAGGUGAUGAGCACUAACGGAAUUCAUCGAAAGUCCCCGCCCGGCAUUGCCGUCAUGGAUCAACAACACCAUCAGCAACAACAACAACAACAGCAGCUCCAGCAGCUUCACCACCACGGGAUGAUGGGCGGAUCGGGCCAGCAGCAGCAGCAACAACAACAAGUGCCACGGAUCGCCAACGGCAACAUUCUCAAGACGGCGCUGACGAAUCCGAGCGAGGUGCUCCAUUUGAGGCGACGAUUGGAAAGCGCCGUCACGUCCAGCCGGGACGCCAUCAGUAUGCCUUACGAGACGGCCAUGCCCACCAUUUGCACGCUCAUUUAUUGUGAUGAGUUUGAAGAUAUUGCCACCUUGAAGUUGGACGAGUUGCUGGACACGAAAGCCGAGCUGUCGGACAAACUCUGCCAAAUCGGCGACUCGAUAGUCUACAAGCUGGUGCAGUGGACCAAACGUCUUCCGUUCUACUCUGAGCUGCCCGUCGAGGUGCACACGCGAUUGCUGACGCACAAAUGGCACGAGCUACUGGUGCUGACCACUUCGGCCUAUCAGGCCAUCCACGGGCCGCGCAAGACGUGGUCAGGACCAGAACCCACUGAACACGAUUUCGUCCAGCAGGUAUCGGCCAACCUAGUCACCCUUCAAACAUGUUUAGCCGCCAUGAUGGGUCGACCCUUGACCCUGGACCAGUUGAGACAGGACGUGGGACUCAUGGUGGAGCGCAUCACUCACGUCACGAUGAUGCUCCAAAGGAGCCAAUUGCGGAUGGAGGAGUAUGUCUGUCUCAAAGUCAUUGCCAUGCUCAGCCAACCUAAAGGUAGCGGCAGCGUCGAACUGGAAGCCAUUCAAGAACGAUACAUGCAGUGUCUGCAGAGCUAUGUCGAACACAACUAUCCACAAUCGCCUGGGCGAUUUUCUGAUCUCCUCACACGUUUACCUGAGGUCCAAUCGGCUGCUACCUUGCUGCUGGAGAGUAAAAUGUUUUACGUUCCUUUCCUGCUGAAUUCGGCCAUUCACAGAUAGCCGCUAUUUUUUAAAAAAAGAAAAAACAUCGUCCUCAAACAAGUUUAUUCGUCGUCGUCUUGAUUGUUAUCUUCGUCGUCCGUUCUCUCCCUUGUCGUCCUUUUGCCACCUUCCUCCGCAUUGUUUCAAUUCAAAACAAUUUGUUGUGCUUAAAAGACCAAUGCAUCCAAAAUCUCUCUCUCCUCUCACAGGGCCCACCCACCCGGAAGAAAAACUAAAUUACGGAAUGAUAGGUAUAUAUAUCAAUUCUUCUUCUUCUUUUUCUGGCCGCGUGAGAAAUUGUGUCUACCUGCCUGCGAGUGACUGUCAGUGUGUGCGUGCGUGUGUGGAAUUCUAAUUCUAAUCUCUCGAUCCAGUUUUGAAACGUCAACAAAUUUUGUACAACAAACAAAACAAAAACAAAAAAGAAGAAAAUUUAGCCAAAAGAGAAGAAAGGUGCGUCCGAAUUCCAAAAUUUGGAUGCAUCUUUAUAAUAUAAAUAAAUAAGCAUAUUUUUCUGGUUUACCCCCGUUAAACUGGACACCGACACUGAACGAAAAGAAAGAAGAAAUAGUUGAAAUUCUUUGGUUUUUUGUUUUCACCUCCUCUAUCCCUCCGCCAUGUUUUUUGUUUAAAAAUUUAAUUCGGGCUUAUCAGAGUUUGUUGUUUUUUCCCCCUAUUCUUGCUCUAAUGAAUUAACCAUGUAGGAACCACGUGUGACCACACAGCUAAAGCUAAGAGAAAAUGUGAGGAUUUUAUAAAUUCAAAUGUCUGUGCGUUUGUGUGUGAUUGUGUGGCCCUGCUGAAAGCGUCCCCCCACAAAAAAUUUUGAUUUCAAAAUUUCGCGGGCUAAAAUUUUUAAAUGUCAGAAUUUUUUUUUUUCAAUUUAUUUUGGUUGGUUUGAAUGAUUUUUGAUAUAUUCUAUACAUAUUCUAUACAUAGGAAAAGCAUAAGAGUGAGAGUAAAGAAACACAAGUUUUCCUAUUUUACAAUUGUUUGUGUGUGUGUCACAGUCUGGGGCUCUGGGCAUCCUCUCAAAGAGUUCAAAUUCAAUUUUGAAGAAUGGCCUACUCUUGAAAAGAGUUUUUUUUUUAAAGACAAAAUUUUAUUAUUAUUAUUUUUUAUUCUUUUGUUUUAUUUUUCUAAAGAAAAAAAGAAAUGAGUUUAAAUGUAUUUUCGUUUGUUUAUCUUUUAUUUUUUCAAAAUGUUGUGUGUCAUUUGUUUUGUGCAACUGCCAGUGUUUGACAUUCGACACGAAACAAAUGAGAAACGCGAGUCGCAUGUCCAGCAGAAAAAAUAAUAAUUUCCUUUCUGUUUUUCGGCGAUUUGCGUGAUGUAAUAUGCCGUUGUGGUCGGUUCCCAUGUGGUCAUUUUCAACAUUGCAAUUUCAGUGAGACUUUUUAUUUUAUUGAUUUGUAAAAAAUGAACUCAAUCAACGCUAGAGAUUU